rnacentral:rRNA from 1 species
GACGAACGCUGGCGGCGUGCCUAAUACAUGCAAGUAGAACGCAGUUGCGAACGGGUGAGUAACGCGUAGGUAACUGCCUCAUAGCGGGGGAUAACUAUUGGAAACGAUAGCUAAUACCGCAUACUGUGAGAUGGACCUGCGUUGUAUUAGGUAGUUGGUGAGGUAAAGGCUCACCAAGGCGACGAUACAUAGCCGACCUGAGAGGGGGAUCCGCCACACGGGGAAUGAGACAAGGGCCAGAAUCCUGCGGGAGGCAGCAGUAGGGAAACUGCGGCAAUGGACGGAAGUCUGACCGAGCAACGGCGCGUGAGUGAAGAAGGUUAUCGGAUCGUAAAGCUAUGUUGUUAGAGAAGCGGUAACUAAUCAGAAAGGGACGGCUAAUUACGUGCCAGCAGCCGCGGUAAUUC